rnacentral:sRNA from 1 species
CGCGUCCGCCUCGUGGACGCCGCUGCCCAUCAAAGCCGACUCCCGGUUACGCUGACGCCGUGCGGCAUUCCCGCCUGUCCGGGGAAAAGCCGCAUAGCCGACAGCCGUCGCAUCUAGGGAGUCCCUCCAUG